ensembl:lncRNA
ACCAUGCCCGGCCCACUUUAAUUAAAAAUCACUACACGUGAGAGCCACCACGCCCGGCCCACUUUAAUUAAAAGUCACUACACGUGAGAGCCACCAUGCCCGGCCCACUUUAAUUAAAAAUCACUACACGUGUGAGCCACCACGCCCAGCCCACUUUAAUCAAAAAUCACUACAGGUGUGAGCCACCACGCCCGGCCCACUUUAAAAAUCACUACACGUGUGAGCCACCACGCCCGGCCCACUUUAAAAAUCACUACACGUGUGAGCCACCACGCCCGGCCCACUUUAAUUAAAAAUCACUACACGUGUGAGCCACCACGCCCGGCCCACUUUAAUCAAAAAUCACUACAGGUGUGAGCCACCACAAAAUCACUACACGUGAGCCACCACGCCCGGCCCACUUUAAUUAAAAAUCACUACACGUGUGAGCCACCACGCCCGGCCCACUUUAAUUAAAAAUCACUACACGUGUGAGCCACCACGCCCGGCCCACUUUAAUCAAAAAUCACUACAGGUGUGAGCCACCACGCCCGGCCCACUUUAAAAAUCACUACACGUGUGAGCCACCACGCCCGGCCCACUUUAAUUAAAAAUCACUACACGUGAGCCACCACCGGCCCACUUUAAUUAAAAAUCACUACACGUGUGAGCCACCACGCCCGGCCCACUUUAAUCAAAAAUCACUACAGGUGUGAGCCACCACGCCCGGCCCACUUUAAAAAUCACUACACGUGUGAGCCACCACGCCCGGCCCACUUUAAUUAAAAAUCACUACACGUGAGCCACUACCGGCCCACUUUAAUUAAAAAUCACUACACGUGAGCCACCACCGGCCCACUUUAAUCAAAAUCACUACAGGUGUGAGCCACCAUGCCUGGCCCAUUUUAAAAAUCACUACACGUGUGAGCCACCACGCCCAGCCCACUUUAGCCACCAUUAAAAUCACUACAGGUGUGAGCCACCACGCCCAGCCCACUUUAAUUAAUCAAAUGUGAGCCACCACCCUUCUGUUUUUUUUUUUGAGAUGGCCUCUCGCUCCAUCCAGCCUGGAGUGCUAUAGCACUAUCUCUGCUCAGUGCAAAUCACCUCCUGGGUUCAAGUGAUUCUCCUGCCUCAUUCUCCCAGGUAGCUAGGAUUACAGGCAUGUGCCACCACACCCAGCUAAUUUUUGUACUUUUUAAUAAAGACUGGGUUUUAACCACGUUGACCAAGCUGGUCUUGAACUCCUGACCUCAAGUGGUCCGCCCACCUCGGCCUCCCAAAGUGCUUGGAUUACAGGCGUGAGCCACCGUGCCUGGCCUAAGGAUCUAAUGAUCUCGGAUGAUCUUGCCAUCCUUAACUACAUAUUCAUAGUCAGGUUAACAAAAGAACCCAGGGGUUUAGCGGGUGCUCGGGAAACAGUCAAGGGCCUGAAAUAUUCACCCCAUCCCACUUGCUGCUUCCUUCUUCCCAACCCCAUUGUGACUCCUCUACUCACCAGCAGCGCAGCGACUUUCCUCUGGCAUGGCAUGCAAGCUCUGCUUCAGCUCCAUCAUGAGCACCAAGGCACCAGAGGCCAGACAGGAGCAGCCCAGGUGCGGGGACACCACAGAAGGAAGGCCCCAGGGCAAGGAGGAGCCCCAGCAGCCUGUCUCCUUCCCUUUCAAUGAGCCGUUUUUCUUCUCCAACCUCCCAUCAAUCAGCAUGUCUCCAAAAUUGGUGGGUUCUUGGUCUGCCCGACUUCAAAAAUGAAGCUGCAGACCCUCGCGGUGUUACAGUUCUUAAAGGCAGUCCAGAGUUUGUUCCUUCAGGCGUUCAGAUGGGUCUGGAGCUUAUUCUGGUGGGUUCAUGGUCUCGCCGACAGGAGUGAAGCUGCAGACUUUCACGGUGAGUUUCACAGCUCUCAAAAUCAGCUAUGUCUGGAGUUGUUUGUUCUUCCCUGUGGGUUCGUGGUCUCGCUGGUUUCAGGAGUAAAGCAGCAGACCUAUACACAGUAAGCGUUAUAGCUCAAAAAGGCAGCGUAGAUCCAAACAGUGAGCAUCAGAGAAGAAGAAGAAGA